GGACCUCCGGAGAAGUCCGCACUCGAUGCGGGUGCCGAAGGGGCAAGACAGACAUGUUGAAUCUCUCAGGCAAAAGGACGGAGUG
rnacentral:ncRNA from 1 species